GUUCUGGGCAACUGGCUCGUGAGGCUGCCUUUGGACUCUGGUUCACACAGGCUGUCUCCCCAGGCUGCACCAGUAGAAGCUGGUCACAGCAAGCAGCGCCACCAUUGCAAGGUAGCAAGGCAGCCAGGGAGCAUGUCGGAACCCCAUUCAGUCCAGGUAGGCUGUUGCCAUAGCAACAGACAGGUGCAAUUGAGGCCUGGGCCUGCUGCCAGCCAGCCUCUUCCCUUCCAUCUGAACGUGCUCCUUUCUCCUCCUAAGUGACCUCUCUUCCUCCUCCUGAGGAGUCCCCUCUUACAGUAGAAAGCUGCCAACCAGGUCCUGCAGCCUUGGCUCUGGUACUGGACCCAGGCAGACCAUCCCCAGAAGCAGCCGCUUUCCCUGCCCGGCGGGCACCGUGGGGCUGGAACUCUACCUGGACCUGCUCUCCCUGCCCUCCCGGGCCCGUCUACCUCUUUGCCAAGACUGAACAACAUUCCUUUUGAGUUCAAACACGUGGAGCUGUUCAAAGCCGUAUCUGGAGAUGUCAGGGAUUGAUCCGUGCUCCUUCUGCAUGCAAGCAGAUACUCUACCACUGAGUGACGGCCUCUUCCAUAGACAGAGAAAUGUUCUUCAUAUCCAUAUCCAUGGGAUUUGGGGGCAUAUCUGAAGAACACUAAUAGUAAACAGGGGCCGUUACCCGAUUUUUAAAAAAACACUUCAUCAAAUGAAUUUUGAUUGCUCAAUUAAAUCUUCAUUCAUUUGCCUACAACUAAAGCAAUAGUGUUGAGAAAAAAAGGGCAUUCUUUGUUUUUAGAUGCAACAUAUGUAUGUCACAGCAGGAGGCAUUCUCUUGUUAUGUAAACUGUAUUGUGAACUCUUUUUUGUUGUUGAAAAGCAGAAUUAAAAAUAUUUGUAUAUAUUUAUUAUUGUUGUUGUUUACAGAGUCAGACAGGUGUUAUUGACUGGCUUGUUUUAUCCAGACAUUGAGUCCUUCCCAAGGAUCUGGGAUGCCUGAAUUUUAUUAUCAAUAUUGUUGUUAUUAUUACGGAUAUCGUUGCAGAAUAUCAACUUGCUUUUCUAAGCUACUGGCUUAGUAACUGUUAGGCAUCAUUGCAGUUCAUUGAUUCUGUAAUUAAAAGAUCCACGGAAAG